rnacentral:rRNA from 1 species
UGGGGGAUAACCGCUGGAAACGGUCGGCUAAUACCGCAUACGCCUUUGAGAGGGAAAGAGUUUUAUCGCCCUGGGAGGGGCCCGCGUUGGAUUAGCUUGUUGGUGGGUUAACGGCCCACCAAGGCGACGAUCCAUAGCUGGUCUGAGAGGAUGAUCAGCCACACUGGGACUGAGACACGGCCCAGACUCCUACGGGAGGCAGGCAGUUGGGGAAUAUUGGACAAUGGGGCAACCCUGAUCCAGCCAUGCCGCGUGCGUGAAGAAGGCCUUAGGGUUGUAAAGCGCUUUCACCGGUGACGAUGAUGACGGUAGCCGGAGAAGAAGCCCCGGCUAACUCCGUG